AGCUCUCCGAGUGGUGUGGACGUUUAUUGGGCCUAAAGCAUCCGUAGCUGGCUGGACAAGUCCCCUGUUAAACCCACCGAUUUAAUCGUUGGUCUGCGGGGGAUACUGUUCGGCUAGGGGACGAGAGAGGCAGACGGUAUUCCCGGGGUAGGGGUGAAAUCCUAUAAUCCCGAGAAGACCACCAGUGGCGAAGGCUGUCUGCUAGAACGCGCCCGACGGUGAGGGAUGAAAGCUGGGGGAGCGAACCG
rnacentral:rRNA from 1 species